ACUUGUAUGAAUGGUUGGAUGAGAAAAUUACUUUGUUUAUUUAAUUUUUAAUGAAUUUUAUUUUUGAGUCAAAAAGCUCAAAUGUUUUUAUAAGACGAGAAGACCCUAUAGAGUUUAAUAAUAGAUUUAUGGUUAUAAAAAGGAAUAUUUUAUUUUGUAGAUGCUAUUAUUUGGUUGGGGUGACUUUAAAAUUUAAUAAACUUUUAAUUUUUUUGUACUUUAAUUUAUGAUUAUUUGAUCCAAUUAUUUUGAUUAUCAGAACAAAUUACCUUAGGGAUAACAGCGUAAUUUUCUUGGUGAGUUCAUAUCUAUAGGAAAGAUUACGACCUCGAUGUUGGAUUAAAGUUAACUGUUGGCGCAGUAGUUGAUGGGUUGGGUCUGUUCGACCUUUAAAAUUUUACAUGAUCUGAGUUCAAACCGGAG
rnacentral:rRNA from 1 species